GGGCCGGUAGAUCAGUGGAAGAUCGUCUCCUUGGCAUGGAGGAGGCCGUGGGUUCAAAUCACUGACUUGCUUCA
rnacentral:tRNA from 1 species